rnacentral:rRNA from 1 species
UACGUAGGGUGCGAGCGUUGUCCGGAAUUAUUGGGCGUAAAGGGCUCGUAGGCGGUUUGUCACGUCAGGAGUGAAAACUCGGGGCUCAACCCCGAGCCUGCUUCUGAUACGGGCAGACUAGAGGUAUGCAGGGGAGAACGGAAUUCCUGGUGUAGCGGUGAAAUGCGCAGAUAUCAGGAGGAACACCGGUGGCGAAGGCGGUUCUCUGGGCAUUACCUGACGCUGAGGAGCGAAAGUGUGGGGAGCGAACAGG